rnacentral:snRNA from 1 species
AUACGAACCGUGAAAGCGUGGCCUAUC